UACGUAGGCAGCGAGCGUUGUUCAGAGUUACUGGGCGUAAAGGGUGUGUAGGCGGUUGUUUAAGUUUGGUGUGAAAUCUCCCGGCUCAACUGGGAGGGUGCGCCGAAUACUGAAUGACUUGGAGUGCGGGAGAGGUGAGUGGAAUUCCUGGUGUAGCAGUGAAAUGCGUAGAUAUCAGGAGGAACACCGAUGGCGAAGGCAGGUCUCUGGGCUGACACUGACGCUCAUGCACGAAAGCGUGGGGAGCAAACAGG
rnacentral:rRNA from 1 species